rnacentral:rRNA from 1 species
AACGAACGCUGGCGGCAUGCCUAACACAUGCAAGUCGAACGAGACCUUCGGGUCUAGUGGCGCACGGGUGCGUAACGCGUGGGAAUCUGCCCUUGGGUUCGGAAUAACAGUUGGAAACGACUGCUAAUACCGGAUGAUGACGUAAGUCCAAAGAUUUAUCGCCCAAGGAUGAGCCCGCGUAGGAUUAGCUAGUUGGUGAGGUAAAGGCUCACCAAGGCGACGAUCCUUAGCUGGUCUGAGAGGAUGAUCAGCCACACUGGGACUGAGACACGGCCCAGACUCCUACGGGAGGAAGCAGUGGGGAAUAGUGGACAAUGGGCGAAAGCCUGAUCCAGCAAUGCCGCGUGAGUGAUGAAGGCCUUAGGGUUGUAAAGCUCUUUUAACCGGGAUGAUAAUGACAGUACCGGGAGAAUAAGCUCCGGCUAACUCCGUG